rnacentral:rRNA from 1 species
UACGAAGGGGGCUAGCGUUGUUCGGAUUCACUGGGCGUAAAGCGCGCGUAGGCGGCUUCUUAAGUCAGGGGUGAAAGCCUGGGGCUCAACCCCAGAACUGCCCUUGAUACUGAGGAGCUUGAGUCCGGGAGAGGUGAGUGGAACUCCGAGUGUAGAGGUGAAAUUCGUAGAUAUUCGGAAGAACACCAGUGGCGAAGGCGGCUCACGGGCCCGGUACUGACGCUGAGGUGCGAAAGCGUGGGGAGCAAACAGG